CCCGGAAGGCCUGAGUUGCAGAAGCCUGUGUGGCAAGCAUCUAGACUGGUUCCCAGGAUGAACAGCAGCACUAGCCCUCAAAGGGACCCAGAGAUGCAUAUGGUCGGUAGAGGUGUGAGAGAGUUCCCUCAUUGCCCAG